UACGUAGGGGCCUAGCGUUGUCCGGAAUUACUGGGCGUAAAGCGUGCGCAGGCGGUUUUGUAAGCCAGAUGUGAAAUCCCCGGGCUCAACCUGGGAACUGCAUUUGUGACUGCAUGGCUGGAGUGCGGCAGAGGGGGAUGGAAUUCCGCGUGUAGCAGUGAAAUGCGUAGAUAUGUGGAGGAAUACCGAUGGCGAAGGCAGCCCCCUGGGAUAACACUGACGCUCAUGCACGAAAGCGUGGGGAGCAAAAAGG
rnacentral:rRNA from 1 species